rnacentral:rRNA from 1 species
GACGAACGCUGGCGGCGUGCUUAACACAUGCAAGUCGAACGGUGAUGCCCCAGCUUGCUGGAGUGGAUCAGUGGCGAACGGGUGAGUAACACGUGAGCAACCUGCCCCAGACUCUGGAAUAAGCGCUGGAAGCGGCGUCUAAUACUGGAUACGAAACUGGCCCGCAUGGGCAUGGUUUGGAAAGUUUUUCGGUUUGGGAUGGGCUCGCGGCCUAUCAGCUUGUUGGUGAGGUAAUGGCUCACCAAGGCGACGACGGGUAGCCGGCCUGAGAGGGCGACCGGCCACACUGGGACUGAGACACGGCCCAGACUCCUACGGGAGGCAGCAGUGGGGAAUAUUGCACAAUGGGCGAAAGCCUGAUGCAGCGACGCCGCGUGAGGGAUGACGGCCUUCGGGUUGUAAACCUCUUUCAGCAGGGAAGAAGCGAAAGUGACGGUACCUGCAGAAGAAGCACCGGCUAACUACG